rnacentral:lncRNA from 1 species
UUGAAAGAGAAGGCAAGUGCAUAAUAAGAAAUCAUACAAAAAGAAAAAUAGUAUGUAUGUUCUUUAAAAGAAAAAAAAAAGAAAAGCAAAAGAGAAAAAUGCACUUGCCGGGACUUAAGACUCUAACACAUAUAAAAUGCUCGAAAAAUUUGAGUAGAAAAAGAGUCAAAAGAGUGAAAUUAACCCCCAGAGUAUACGUGUGCACGAGAAAAAGAGAAAGAAAAUGCACACAACAUGACUACCGAGUUCAAAACCCUUU